GAUGAACGCUGGCGGCGUGCCUAAUACAUGCAAGUCGAGCGAACGGACGAGAAGCUUGCUUCUCUGAUGUUAGCGGCGGACGGGUGAGUAACACGUGGAUAACCUACCUAUAAGACUGGGAUAACUUCGGGAAACCGUAGCUAAUACCGGAUAAUAUUUUGAACCGCAUGGUUCAAAAGUGAAAGACGGUCUUGCUGUCACUUAUAGAUGGAUCCGCGCUGCAUUAGCUAGUUGGUAAGGUAACGGCUUACCAAGGCAACGAUGCAUAGCCGACCUGAGAGGGUAACCGCCCAACAUGGAAAUGAGACAGGGUCCAAACUCCUAGGGGAGGCAGAAGUGGGGAAUUUUCCGGAAGGGGCGAAAGCCUGACGGACCAACGCCGGGGGAGUAAUGAAGGUUUUCGGAUCGUAAAACUCUGUUAUUAGGGAAGAACAUAUGGGAAAGUAACUGGGCACAUUUUGACGGUACCAAAUAAAAAAGCCAGGGCUAACUACGU
rnacentral:rRNA from 1 species